ensembl:lncRNA
AACUUCUCGGUGGUGUCAAAGGAGGGCGCCCCGGGCAGUUCCGCGCUUGGGGGCCCGCGGGGCACGGGGGCGUCGGGCUUCAGCGCGCUGCCGUGGAACCGCUGCAGGUGCCGGAGGAGGCAGCUGGUGCCCAGGUUGGUGGGCUUCUUCCCCCCGGCUGAUGGUGCGGCCGCAGUGCAGGCACACCACCUUGGUGGAGUCUGCGGAGCAAAUGGAAAAGUGGUUCCACAACUUCGAGGUCUUCUUGCUACUCACAGGAAACGUGGCCUGACUGCCCCUGCUGACCGCCGCCGGCAGGUCGGCCAGCCUGGAGGAGGAGCUUUCUGCAGAGGCCAACGUGGCGUACGGAGAGUUGGCCAGACUGGCUCCCAGAAAGCCCUUCUGGCCCCCGACGACUUCGGGGUGGCGUCGGUACAGGUGGCGCAUCAGGCAGCUGGUGCCCACGUCGCCCUUCUUGCCCCGGCUGAUGACGCAGCCGCAGUACCGACACACGGCCUUGAGGCUGUCCAUGGGGGCCAGCGAGAAGUGGUGCCAGACUUCCGACUUCAGCCUCUUCAUCACCUUCUUGUUCUGCUGGAAGACGGUGCCGGCCUCCGGCCGCCGGGGACUCGGCUCGUCAGCCUGCUGCUUCUCCGGGGAGGACACGGCCGAGGCCUCUCCCACGUCGUCGGAGGAGGACAGCACGGACGCGUCCUCCAGGAACGCGUCUCCAGGGUUCAGUCGCGACUGCAGGUCGUCAGCCAGCCUGUCGGGGGAGGAGGCGGCCGAGCGCGACUCUCCGACCAGCUUCCCUGGGGAGGACCCAGCGUGCAGCUCGCCCUCGGGAGGCAGCAGCGCGGGCAGCAGGGUGGGCGAGGCCGAGUAGAGGGGCGGGAUGCCCGGGCCGCCCCCGUUCUCCCGCAGCACGAUGGAGCGGUGCGCCCGCCACAUGUGCCGGAUGAGGCAGCUCGUGCCCAGGUCCUUCCCGUUCUUGCCGCGGCUGAACUCGUUCAUGCAGUGGAUGCACACGGCCUUGGAGUUGUCGAGGGGCGACAGGUAGAAGUGCUUCCACACGGCCGACCGCCGCCUGGACCCAGACGCGCUCUUGGGCAGCGGGAGGCUCUUCUCCGCCAAGCCCUCUGCCGCGUCGUCGUACUGGAGGGCGGGCAGCUGGGGCGACGCCCCUGCCAGGACCUCUUCCCUGCCGCACUUGUCAGAAACAGACAUGUCCGAGGAGACGUCUUCAGAGGACACCACGGACACCGACUCCUCCGUCACUCGGUCGGGGGACGGCAUCUUCGAGGCCAUCUUCUGCACCAGCUUCGCGGGCGAGAGCACGGAGCCGAGGUCGCCCACGUCCGCCGGCUGCGAGGGCAGCAGGAGCGAGGCCGAGGGCAGCGCGGCCACGGCGGCCACGCCCCCGUUCUCCGGGACGAGCACCGUGGGGUGCGCCCGGCGGACAUGCCGCAUGAGGCAGCUCGUGCUCAAGUCUUUCUCGUUUUUGCCCCGACUGAACUCCUUCAUGCAGUACAUGCAGAUGGCCUUCGUGCUGUCUCUGGGCGAGAUAAAAAAAUGCUUCCAGGCGGGCGACUUCUUCCUGGAGCUCACGUGGCGGCUGGAGAGCAGGCUCUGGGCCACGGCCUCCAUGGCCACGUCGUACAGCGUGCUGCUGUAGCGCGAGAACAGAGGCCCGUACUCGUCGUCCUUCUCCCUCUCGGGCGGCGCACAGGGGCGGCCCGGCCCUCCGGCCUCGGCCUGCUCAUCCCCGCUGUCUGUCUGCCUCACGUCCUCCUGCUCGCUCGGGAAGGCCAUUCUUUCCAAACCGUGACCAGGAAUCUGAUCAUCCUCCUCUUCUAUUUUAAAAUUUACAGAAUCCAAAUCCUCAUCCCCUCUGGGACGAGCUUCCUGGUCAUUCUCCAUGACUGA